AUUGUGUGAAUUAUAUAAUUUGCAGACCUUAGAUAUUGGAGAUUGUAAUAAUUUGGAAAAGGUGCCCGAUGGGAUUGGAAAACUAGUCAACUUAAGACAUCUGCAUAAUAGUUAUACAAUCGAUGCUCUGUUGCCGAGAGAAAUUAAAAAACUGAGUUGCCUUAGGACUUUAGAGUGGGUGAAUGCUGGUGAUGAUAGAGAAGAAGCAUUCUCUCUUGGCGAUCUAGAAAGCCUGAACCUUCUUCAAGGAUUGCUUGCUUUAAUGUUCCUAGGGAAAGUGAGCAACGUGGAUGAGGGUAAGAAAGCACAUCUCAAGAAAAAGAAAGGAAUCGACACAAUGCAUUUAUAUUUUCAUGGAGAAGAAGGGAAUUGGAGAAUAAAU
rnacentral:misc_RNA from 1 species